rnacentral:tRNA from 1 species
GCCUGGGUGGCUCAGUCGGUUGAGCGUCUGACUUGGGUUCAGGUCAUGAUCUCACGGUCUGUGAGUUCGAGCCCCACGUCAGGCU